GUGAUAUUGUUGCUGCGGUACUUUCUUCUUCUUCUUCUUCAGAUCGCCUAUUUUGGUUUCAGCUCGGGAACAUCUGCAAGCAUCUGCAGAGAUCUGACAACAAGAUGACCUUUUAAACUUAAUCAAGCUGAAGGUUCACAGCUACCCUGGCGUGGGAGUUAGAAGAUGUGGUCAGAGAUAUUUUGGCAUAGAGGAAGCUAAUGGAGUUGUGCAGCUUCCUUAUCACCCACCCACCCUCUUCCUAAAGAAAGCUACAGAAAUUUUGUUUCUCAAGUUACUCAAAAAUAAGAGGAGGUACAUAAUGACCAAACCAAGAAAUUAUGUAUUUGCCCUAUAAAGAAGAUACUGCAUAUCUGAUUACAUCAGAAGACAAUGAACAAAGCGAUUGGAGGUGGCUUAUUCAUACUCGGACAAAGUCUUCCCCAACCAAGGACCUUCCUGAUGUCUUCGAACCCAGAUUUCUUAGCUUAGAUGGCCUUGACUUCAUUUAGGCACAUGAUAGUUGGGAACACAGCGCUACCAUAAAAGUUCCCUCGACUGUAGGAGAAGGAGUGGCAGAACCUGGGGCGGAGUUAAAAGAGGAAUCAGCCUAGAAUCGCUAUGUAGCCACAAGCAAACUAAGUUCAACCUCCCUUGAACUCCAUGGACCUUUAUCUACCUCCUAGCAGGUGCUAACAGUUAGUUGAAUAGA